GAUUGUGUUUUGCAGUGACUUUAUGUGGAGAUUUGGUGAUGCCUCUGUGGCGUAGUCGUGUUGCGUAUUAGUUACGAGUGCCGUGCCAAAGUUUCGUUGCAGCUCAGGUCGUAUAAAAUGCCUGGAGUUAAGAAUUGUGCCCGAUAAUUACAUGAGAACUAACAUAGCUGGUAGAAUGUGGUUGUCCACCUCUACCAAGCCCUUAUGCUGCCUUUAUAUGAUUAUUUUGAAAACCUGAUGAAUAUUUCCUUGAUCUGCAAAUAUAGAGACUUGAUAACGAUUCCAGCCUGGAGACUCCAUUAUUCCCUAAUAGUCCCGGUAAAUUCUCGAGCAUAAGUGCACGGCAAAGUGACCCUACUGCACCUGAUGGUAAGUGGAGUGGAGUCUAUUAGAAUGUCAACUGACGAGAGAUGAUUACUGGGUUUAAGCUUCUUGAUGAUUACCGUUCGGCAGUCGAGAAAAAUAUCUCGGCCUGUUGAAACCGGAUGUCCACCGGCUGAUCCCGGAACGCAACACACUUACUUACAUGGUCCAUUAAAUAAGGUUUUAGACCUUGUGUACGGUGGUCGCUAUCCGAGCGGAUAUAAAAUAUAUCCUCUACCAGCGGAAGUACAUGGUAACAAGUAUAAAUAGGUAAAUGGUGCGUCGUUUUUAUAUAGUCUUAGAGCUAACUAUAUUUUAGUUUUUAUAACGUAAUAUAAAACAAUAAUUUAUAGCAGAAUUGCCUGUGACAAAAAAGAGGUGGCAACACUGACAGCUGUCAGCUGAUGUUUACGUGUCAUAAUGACGUUCGAAAUCAACAAAUGAAGUCAAUUCCAUUAAUUUUUAUUAAAAAUAAUUUUGGCAUUCAAUAACCCAAUUAUGAAAAAAAUAUUACACCUUCAUAUUUUAAAAUAAGCAUGUCAUGGUUCGCGGAGCUCGCGGGGAAGGCGGAAAGUCUUCUGGUAAACUUUGAUGAGCAGACUGGGGCCGCUUUACGAAAUCAUAAUGGCCCGAAGCAACGUAAAA